UACGUACGGUGCGAGCGUUAAUCGGAAUUACUGGGCGUAAAGCGUGCGCAGGCGGUUCGCUAAGACCGAUGUGAAAUCCCCGGGCUUAACCUGGGAACUGCAUUGGUGACUGGCGGGCUAGAGUAUGGCAGAGGGGGGUAGAAUUCCACGUGUAGCAGUGAAAUGCGUAGAGAUGUGGAGGAAUACCGAUGGCGAAGGCAGCCCCCUGGGCCAAUACUGACGCUCAUGCACGAAAGCGUGGGGAGCAAACAGG
rnacentral:rRNA from 1 species